rnacentral:rRNA from 1 species
AGAGUUUGAUCAUGGCUCAGGAUGAACGCUAGCGAUAGGCUUAACACAUGCAAGUCGAGGGGCAUCACGAGGUAGCAAUACUUUGGUGGCGACCGGCGUACGGGUGCGUAACACGUAUGCAACCUUCCUGUAAGUGUGGGAUAGCCUCCUGAAAGGGAGAUUAAUACCUCAUGAUAUGUAUUUGCUGCAUGGCAUUUACAUUAAACAUUUAUGGCUUACAGAUGGGCAUGCGUUCCAUUAGGCAGUUGGUGAGGUAACGACUCACCAAGGCCACGAUGUCUAGGGGUUCUGAGAGGAAGGUCCCCCACACUGGAACUGAGACACGGUCCAGACUCCUACGGGAGGCAGCAGUGAGGAAUAUUGGACAAUGGUCGGAAGACUGAUCCAGCCAUGCCGCGUGAAGGUUACGGUCCUAUGGAUUUUAAACUUCUUUUGUAUGGAAGCAAUAAGGUGCACGUGUGCAUCGAUGAGAGUACCAUACGAAUAAGCAUCGGCUAACUCCGUGCCAGCAGCCGCGGUAAUACGGAGGAUGCAAGCGUUAUCCGGAUUUAUUGGGUUUAAAGGGUGCGUAGGCGGAUUAAUAAGUCAGCGGUGAAACUCACAGGCUCAACCUGUGCCGUGCCGUUGAAACUGUUUAUCUUGAAUGCGGAUGCUGUGGGAGGAAUGUGUAGUGUAGCGGUGAAAUGCAUAGAUAUUACACAGAACACCGAUUGCGAAGGCAUCUCACAAAGCCGUGAUUGACGCGGAGGCACGAAAGUGUGGGGAUCAAACAGGAUUAGAUACCCUGGUAGUCCACUACUGUAAACGAUGAUAACUCGCUGCCGGCGAUAUAUAGUCGGUGGCCCAGCGAAAGCGAUAAGUU